rnacentral:rRNA from 1 species
CGUGCUUAACACAUGCAAGUCGAACGAUGAAGCCCAGCUUGCUGGGUGGAUUAGUGGCGAACGGGUGAGUAACACGUGAGUAACCUGCCCUGGACUCUGGGAUAAGCGUUGGAAACGACGUCUAAUACCGGAUAGGACCCUGGACCGCAUGGUUUGGGGUGGAAAGUUUUUUCGGUCUGGGAUGGACUCGCGGCCUAUCAGCUUGUUGGUGAGGUAAUGGCUCACCAAGGCGUCGACGGGUAGCCGGCCUGAGAGGGUGACCGGCCACACUGGGACUGAGACACGGCCCAGACUCCUACGGGAGGCAGCAGUGGGGAAUAUUGCACAAUGGGCGAAAGCCUGAUGCAGCAACGCCGCGUGCGGGAUGACGGCCUUCGGGUUGUAAACCGCUUUUAGUAAGGAAGAAGGGGAGCUUGCUCCUUGACGGUACUUGCAGAAAAAGGACCGGCUAACUACGUGCCAGCAGCCGCGGUAAUACGUAGGGUCCGAGCGUUGUCCGGAAUUAUUGGGCGUAAAGAGCUCGUAGGCGGUUUGUCGCGUCUGCUGUGAAAUCUGGAGGCUCAACCUCCAGCCUGCAGUGGGUACGGGCAGACUAGAGUGCGGUAGGGGAGAAUGGAAUUCCUGGUGUAGCGGUGGAAUGCGCAGAUAUCAGGAGGAACACCGAUGGCGAAGGCAGUUCUCUGGGCCGUAACUGACGCUGAGGAGCGAAAGCGUGGGGAGCGAACAGGAUUAGAUACCCUGGUAGUCCACGCCGUAAACGUUGGGCGCUAGAUGU